rnacentral:rRNA from 1 species
CUCAUGACUCUCGGCAACGGAUAUCUUGGCUCUUGCAUCGAUGAAGAACGUAGCAAAAUGCGAUACUUGGUGUGAAUUGCAGAAUCCCGUGAACCAUCGAGUUUUUGAACGCAAGUUGCGCCCGAGGCCUUUGGGUUGAGGGCACGUCUGCCUGGGCGUCAUG